rfam:Streptomyces nanshensis strain SCSIO 10429 scaffold259, whole genome shotgun sequence.
GCCGGUCCUCGGUAGUGGCUCCCGGACAGAGAUGUUCCGGGUGCUUCGAUCGAAGACCGGC